GAUGAACGCUGACAGAAUGCUUAACACAUGCAAGUCGAUGGGGAAGUGGUGCUUGCACCAUGGUAACCAUGGCGGACGGGUGAGUAACGCGUAAGGAACUUGCCUGCGGGACUGGGAUAACAGCAGGAAACUGCUGAUAAUACCGGAUAAGGUCAUUAAGCUGCAUAGCUUAGUGAUGAAAGGAGACGCCUGCGGAGAGCCUUGCGUCCUAUUAGCUAGUUGGAGGGGUAACGGCCCACCAAGGCGAAGAUAGGUAGCCGGCCUGAGAGGGUGGACGGCCACAAGGGGACUGAGAUACGGCCCUUACGCCUACGGGAGGCAGCAGUGGGGAAUAUUGGACAAUGGGGGCAACCCUGAUCCAGCAAUUCUGUGUGCACGAAGACGGUUUUCGGAGUGUAAAGUGCUUUCAGCAGGGAAGAAGGAAGUGACGGUACCUGCAGAAGAAGCGACGGCUAAAUACGUG
rnacentral:rRNA from 1 species